rnacentral:rRNA from 1 species
UAAUACGGAGGGGGCUAGCGUUGUCCGGAAUUACUGGGCGUAAAGCGCGCGUAGGUGGUCCACCAAGUCGGGGGUGAAAGCCCAGGGCUCAACCCUGGAAUGGCCUCCGAGACUGAUGGACUCGAGUUCGGGAGAGGAGAGCGGAAUUCCCAGUGUAGAGGUGAAAUUCGUAGAUAUUGGGAAGAACACCGGUGGCGAAGGCGGCUCUCUGGCCCGCAACUGACACUGAGGCGCGAAAGCGUGGGGAGCAAACAGGAUUAGAUACCCUGGUAGUCCACGCCGUAAACGAUGGACGCUAGACGUCGGGGGGCAUGCCCUUCGGUGUCGCAGCCAACGCAUUAAGCGUCCCGCCUGGGGAGUACGGCCGCAAGGUUA